UGAAUAUUUAUAUAACAUUAACAUAAUUCAUAUUACUAUAUAUUUUAGUAUAUGAAAUUUUACUUUGAGAAAAUUAGAGUGCUUAAAGCAGGCAUAUGCCUUGAAUACUCCAGCAUGGAAUAAUAUUAAAGAUUUUUAUCUUUCUUAUUGGUUCUAAGAUAAGAAUAAUGAUUAAUAGGGACAGUUGGGGGCAUUUGUAUUUAACAGUCAGAGGUGUAAUUCUUAGAUUUGUUAAAGACAAACUAAUGCGAAAGCAUUUGCCAAGGAUGUUUUCAUUAAUCAAGAACGAAAGUUAGGGGAUCGAAGACGAUCAGAUACCGUCGUAGUCUUAACCAUAAACUAUGCCAACUAGAGAUUGGAGGUUGUUCCUUACUCCUUCAGC
rnacentral:rRNA from 1 species